GACGAACGCUGGCGGCGUGCCUAAUACAUGCCAGUUGAGCGCUGAAGGUUGGUACUUGUACCAACUGGAUGAGCAGCGAACGGGUGAGUAACGCGUGGGGAAUCUGCCUUUGAGCGGGGGACAACAUUUGGAAACGAAUGCUAAUACCGCAUAAAAACUUUAAACACAAGUUUUAAGUUUGAAAGAUGCAAUUGCAUCACUCAAAGAUGAUCCCGCGUUGUAUUAGCUAGUUGGUGAGGUAAAGGCUCACCAAGGCGAUGAUACAUAGCCGACCUGAGAGGGUGAUCGGCCACAUUGGGACUGAGACACGGCCCAAACUCCUAAGGGAGGCAGCAGUAGGGAAUCUUCGGCAAUGGACGAAAGUCUGACCGAGCAACGCCGCGUGAGUGAAGAAGGUUUUCGGAUCGUAAAACUCUGUUGGUAGAGAAGAACGUUGGUGAGAGUGGAAAGCUCAUCAAGUGACGGUAACUACCCAGAAAGGGACGGCUAACUACGUG
rnacentral:rRNA from 1 species